AGACGUGUGUGAGGACAACAAUUAAAAUUUGUAUAAAACGAGCCAGUAACCCCUGCUCAGGCAAAUUUGAUCUUAGCGAGAGAAGGGAACUGAGCUUCACACACCUGCUGAGAACAUGAAGAUGAGUCGUGUGUUUCUGGUCCUGGGCUUCGUCCUGAUUAUGGCGCUCUACUCAGACGCUAAAUUGCCUGAUCCUCAUCCUGUCUCCUGCUGUUUCGAUUUCUUCACUGGCAAAAUUCCUCGUCCAAACAUCCUGAACGUGAAAAAGACGGACGCACAGUGUGAACAGCAAGGCUUCAUUGUUACGACGCCUAAGUUCCCUAACCUUUGUGUUCGUGAAAACCCCCAGAAAAAAUAAUGAACCGUGAUUCUGCGGCUGUGAUGGGAAAGAAAUGCAGACCUAAUAAACAUUAUGUAACCCUUCAUGCAAAUUUGAAUUCAGCUUCAAUUCAAUGUUAUUGAAUGCUAUGAAUAAAAAAAAUAUAUAUAAUGCACUCUGA